GUGAGUGGAGAAAUUUGUUAAACAACUACAUUUUCGCCACAAUUUUCGUCAAAAUUUGUUUAUCUCAUUGAGUAUUUAUCUAAUGUUAAUUUGACAAUAGGCAUUUAAUAAAAAUCUCACGUUAAUGUAAUUGAUGAAGGGAGAUUGAUUAUGUUUAGAUUUUCAAUUCCGGUCAUAAAUAAAAUCAUAAACAAGAAAACAUGAAUCAAUCCAUUGGUUUGUGGUUUGACUGGGAUCUUU
rnacentral:lncRNA from 1 species